AAUCUACCUUGCUUCCAUAGACAACUAAAAUACUUUAAAGACAUUCACUGUCUACAGUGAGCAGUUGAACAAUUAAAAUGUACAUUGUCCCAUAUAAAGGAUGGCUAAUGGCCUAACUACUUUGGCCAACACCUUGGAUCUGCUGGAUUUGAGCUAUGCAGAAGAAUAAAGACAAGAAGAGGGGGAAAUGGCUUCGCAAUGGAUUGACUUGCUACAUGCGGUUAAAAGUUUGAAAACAUGUUGCAACUUGUAUGGGAUAAUGGCCAUGUUGGCAAAUGAGUGUUGCUGUGGGCAAAGGCUGAACUCUAAACCAACCUGCCGCAUAACACUGCAACACAGUUAGGGGAAAAUGACAUUGUCAUGUUUGCACAGUUGGCAUUUUGGUGGUUCUAAAGGAAAGGUCAGGGAUUUGUUAAAAUGCAAGAGGGUCAUACUAUGGACCAUCUGAAUGUAAAUAGAAUGUCACCAUGAUAUCAAUCCAGCGAUAAGCAAUAUAUGCAGUGAUUAUUGUUGAUUGUUCCAUCUCAAUUGCCGUCAUCAGUCCUCAUUUGGGUUAUUGUGCAGGGAAUGGCACUAAAACUUUUUUUAAAUAUUUGGGUGCUUCAUUUUCUUUAAUUAAAGAACCACUAAACACUGGGCCUCUACUUGUGUGUUCUUGUGUUGAGGCUAACCGGGGAAAUAAUAGUAAUAAUACAAAUAAUAAUCUACCACUUCUGAGUAGACUCAAUGUAGAGGAAACGCUUCAUAUGGAUCAAUGUGUUGGAGUUCUGUUGACUGUAGACUAGUAAGUAUACUACAAAGGAAUUGAAUGACCAACCGUCGCCCCUCUCAGCCGGCCUUAAAAACAUACUAAGUGUGGAAAUAUAUAUAUAUAUAUAGCCUACCAUGUGUCUAUGUGUGUUUGUGUGAACCUAUAGGUAUUAUUACAACUUUACCAUAUAGUAUUUCAUUUGUAUUCAUACACUGCAAUGGAAAGAGUUAAUUGAAUAUACCAGCCUAUAAAUACAACUAAAUACAGACAUUUCUUUAGUUUCUUUCAAAACAAGUCAUCUUUUUCUAUAUUUGUUAUGUUACCACGCUAAAACCAUUGCUAUUGGCUGUCUCCCCACGUUGCUUUGAACAUGAUUGAAUAAUCUGCCUGUCACUCAGAGAACUGGCCAAUGAGAAAUGUCCGCGCCUCGGAUUUGAAAUUACGUCUGUUUGAGCGGGAAGCCGCAGCGGGGCAGGCGCUACUCGGCAGGUCUGCUAGUGUCUGCUGUUGACCUACCUGCAUUAUUACCUGAAGUAUUUUACAUAUGCCUGCGAUUUUAACUUGUGGGAUGUCAACGGAGAAAGAAAGACUGGGACACAGAGGAAGGAUCAUACGGGAUGUGGUGACCAGCAAAGUUACGUGAAUUGAUAUCCUGCAAAAUUAUUGAAGAUAUCAGCACUGGACCCUGAGCAGUGCAUGGCCUGCAAGAUCAUGAGAAGGCUGAAGAACCAGGAGUGACAAGAUACCACUGGAUGGUGGGGCACAUAAUUCCACUCAGGGACAGUGAUCUGAAAAUGUCUGUUUACCAACGGUCCCCAUCCAACCUGACAGAGCGUGUGAGGAUCUGCAGAAAAGAAUGGCAGAACAUCCCCAAAUCCAGGGUAUUGAGUGUAGAUUGAUGAGCUCAAUAAGGAUUGGAACAACAUUGACGGGGGGAAACACCCAAAGUCCAUCACUCAUGCACCGAGGAUCUGGCUGAUUACUGGAAAUUUGGAAGAUUGUUCUUUAUCUGCACUGUCACUUCUGUUAUUAAGGAGCAGUGGGCUGCAGUGAUGCGCCCAGGAAGCAACUGGGGGUUCAGUGCCUUGCUCAAGGACACUUCGACUUGCA